rnacentral:lncRNA from 1 species
UUUUUUUUUAGUAUUCAUAUCUAUUUACAUCUGUGUUUCCCAACAGAAGACAACUUCAGUAUUUUUAAGAGGAUAUCCUGAAAACCAACACGAAAGCUAAUCAUGACAAGGAAGUAAAACAUAGGAUCUGAGAGGAGAGGGUCCUUGCUCCAUGCAUGAGGACAUCCAUCCCACCCACUGCCUCUGAAGAGCUGUAGAGCAACCUGCUUUUGGCAUGGGUGGAUGGAUUUUUAAGUUGGUUUCCCAGUCAAGUUAUAUUUAAUUAAGGGACUAGUUGAGAUAGUUCAUGCAAAAGCACCAGAAAACUUAAAACAGGGUUCUCUGGGGCUGGAAGCCAGAUUAGGGACAGGGCCUUUUCAUUAAUGAGAGAACAUGUCACAAGGAAAGCAAGAGAUAAAAACCAACAAAACCUAACCUGGUGACCACAUGUCUGUGACUCCAUGUACUCAUCCCAAGGUUGUAUCUGGAGCCUGUGGGCUGGCUAGAUGAUAUAGGUGACUGGCACCUAUUAAGAGUAUAUAACAUAAAUACCAUAAAAAGGAGGAAAUAAAGAUAAGUAAACAUCUCAUUUCUCAAAAAAAAAAAAUGAUGCCUGUGUUUAUGUACAAUUUAAAUGAUUACAGAGUGCUCCUGCCCAAGGAUCUCAUAGCCUGGAGUGAGGGUCAGAACUGAUUUGUUCUGUCUAUGUUUCAGCACUGGUGUGUGUUCUCUAUAAGCUCCUGGCCCACUUGGCUUCACUUGAGCAGAAUGACUUGACUGAGUGGUUCUUUGUUGGCCUCAGUUGCUUUAUGUGGGCAUGAGAUGUCCCGUGAGGUCAUAGCUCCUUCUUUAGGAACUGCCUGUCCAUGAGAUGUCCCGUGAGGUCAUAGCUCCCUCUUUAGGGACUGUCUGUCCAGUGACAGAUUAGCCAUAGAGUCAUGACACUUAGUAAGUUUGCUUCCUUUCUCUGUCAUUUGAUCCUAAGGUAACAUAUGUCUCACAUGUAUUCAGACAUACAGGAUGCUAAUCCACCUUGCAUCCUGCUGUCCAGGUGGACUUCUGUUAGGGACCCAAGGGCCCUUUGGUGUGUAGUGUACAGCACCUUAUUUUAGCAUCAAUAAAUCCAUUAUCCAGUUUUUGAAAAAUCAACUCCAAGGACUGGGUUUAUCUUUCAGUUGACAAAAAUCCAAGUUGUCUUUUGCUAGAAUAAAGCAGAAGGGCUUUCCUAACAUGCUUUAGAGCUUUUAUUGCUUCUUACUGAUACUGACUUAGAAAGCUUUCUGGGUUUUGUAUUUGUUUUAAGAAACAUUGGUUCCUAUGUAUUUUAGCAUUUUUGGUGAUUUCAAUUGACUUUGUUUCUUUUAGGUACUGUUUUUAUUGUUUUACUUAGAAUAUUAGGAUUUUUUUUCACUAAUUUUUCUGCCAGUGAAGGAAAAUGGUCAUCCUUAGUACACAGAAAAGUAUGUUUUCACUUUUCCUUGUUCGGGAAUGAUAAGGGCAAUGCUUUUUGAGGUUUAACUAACAAGGAUUUACUUCCAGUAACCUGACAUAUCUCAUCUUGUCAGAGCCCUAUGUGCUAUAUCCACAUUUAUAUAUAUUUUUUCUAGCCUAUGUAGUUGUUCAGCUUUUAACAAAUAACUCUGGCAGUAUUUUAAACAUGCUAGCAUUUCAGGGGUAUUCUACUUAAAAACAAAACAAAACUGGGAUCAGAUGGCAUCCUAGUUUUGGUACCGGGGCAUUGCCAGUCACCUGAGCUAAGGAAGCAGGCAGGCUGGUGGUUCUUCUGUUCUCAAGCCUUUCAGGUGAGGACACAUGGCCUGGUGAUGCAGCUGGCUGGACCAGGCUCCCCCACAGCCUACUCCCAAGGGCUGGCUGCUUCUGAGGACACAACUGGGACAUGGUUGAGUCAGUAGACUAUUUAGAGACUCAUGUAACUUGGGGUAUGGGCAUGCCUUUAUGGGAGCAGCCACUCUCUGACUAAGUGGCCACUGCUCUCACUUAGACUUUGCUGUCCUCUAUGCUAACUAUGUAGAAGCUGGCUUUAGAUUAAAUGACUAUGAAGCACAAUGACAUUCUGUGGACUAAAAGUUUUUUUGUAUUUUGAUUUUUUUCCCCCCUUUUUCAUGUCCUCAGUAACUCAUACCUGGCUUUGAAUUAGGAGUGGCUAGGAGGGUUCUAGUCUGUGCAAACAUUAAUAAAAAUUAUUUUGAAUUUUAGGAUUUUAAAAUGGUUGAAUUAAUUUAAAAUUGUCUUAAUUCUACUCUUAAUACUUCACUGUGAUGUUAACUUGGAAGACCUGCUGAAGAUUAGUCUUUUAAUUUUAGACCAUUAUAUCUGCUGAGCACAGGAUUCUUAUCAUUUGUAAAUCUAAAACCGUCUGUGAACGCAUUUCUAUGCUUCUUCCUUUAUGAAAGCAUAACUUAAAACAUGAAAAUAAUGUUGGUUAUAGAAAUAUUUACUGUUCAAGGUCUGUAAUUGUAUUUUAAAAUGAUGUAGUAUUCAACUUGUGAAGGGAUUUGUUUUGUC